rnacentral:rRNA from 1 species
UACGUAGGUGGCAAGCGUUGUCCGGAAUUAUUGGGCGUAAAGCGCGCGCAGGUGGUUUCUUAAGUCUGAUGUGAAAGCCCACGGCUCAACCGUGGAGGGUCAUUGGAAACUGGGAGACUUGAGUGCAGAAGAGGAUAGUGGAAUUCCAAGUGUAGCGGUGAAAUGCGUAAAGAUUUGGAGGAACACCAGUGGCGAAGGCGACUAUCUGGUCUGUAACUGACACUGAGGCGCGAAAGCGUGGGGAGCAAACAGG